rnacentral:misc_RNA from 1 species
GGAAGGAUCAUUAACACGUAUCCAAACGUUAAACCCCCCUGUGAACCUUUACCUGUACUCCUACGUCCGUUAGAAAAAGCAGCAAUCCCUGGUAAAUCAUCGCCGAACAGUUUUCGAUUCAGGGAUGUCUGCAAGGAGCGUGGAUGUUGUGCGAAGCAAGUGGCCUGGCAUCCCCAAGCAGUUAGUGUCUGAAAGUGUCAUUAACUGUGCAAGGAUGACGCAGUCACGAUCGUUGGAGGCCCACACGGCCGACGACCGGGUCACUGGGCGCAAGCCCCCUUAUCACAAACCCUUAUAGCUAGACGGGACGCGUGAAAUCCGCAGUCCACCAAAAACCGAACAACUGUUAACAAUGGAAAGAACGCAGCGAAAUGCGAUACGUAAUGCGAAUUGCAGAAUUCAGUGAAUCAUCGAAUCUUUGAACGCAAAUUGCGCUCUCGGGUUACCCCCAAGAGCACACCUCUCUGAGUGUCGGUUUAACCUCAUGUCACCAAUUUAUUGGUGUACGACAGUCUGAGGGUAAGGGGUCUUGUACUUCUUUCCCUUUAAAUCUCAGCCGCACGACUGUGUGUGUUCGUGGCAAGUUGCUUUCACUUAACUGUGAAUCCAAUCCGCAAACCCUAUGUCGAGUAGCCAAAAGAAACAUAUGAAACAGGGGUGUGAACUUGAAAGUGUUGCUUUUAUGAUGAACUGGAUGGAUGGAUGGGAAUGGUGGAUUGGCUGAGCAAUGCUGGAAUGGCGACUGGGUUGUUCUGAAAGUGUUCAACUUUGUUACUGAUCUGGCGUGUUUGGACCGACUGCUUGACCUGACUGUCUGGCCUAUUUGUUGUGGAUGCUUUGUUUUCGAGGGAACGGCUUUGUGUCAUCUAUGAAUUAGACCUCAGAUGAAGUGGGAAGACCCCCUGAAUUUAAGCAUAUUAUUAAGGGGAGGAAAAGAAACUAACAAGGAUUCCCCUAGUAACGGCGAGUGAAGCGGGAAGAGCUCAAAUUUAAAAUCCACUGGUCUAACAGCCUGUGGAGUUGUAAUCUAGAGAGGCUCUCUCAGUUAUAAGUCCCUUGAAACGGGGCAUCAAAGAGGGUGAGAAUCCCGUAUUUGAGCCGGAGCUAAGUACGUACGAGGAGUUUUCUAAGAGUCGCGUUGCUUGGGAGUGCAGCGCUAAUUGGGUGGUAAAGUUCAUCUAAAGCUAAAUACUGGCGAGAGACCGAUAGCGAACAAGUACCGUGAGGGAAAGAUGAAAAGAACUUUGAAAAGAGAGUUAAAAAGUACUUGAAAUUGUUAACAGGGAAGGGGAGUCAACCAGUCAUUUCUAAGCUUCAUUCGCCUUUCCUUCGGGAGGGGUUACUUGAGGCUAAGAAGGGUCAGCAUCACUUAGACUGUCUUCGCAGAAACUGUAUGAGUUGGUGCGUUUCUUCGGAUUCGUUUAACUUGUGUAGCCUACGUUGACGCUGGGUGAGGAGUGAUAACCCCCCACCUUCGGGUGUCGGCACUCUGAGGCCUGUUUGCCCUAGCGCGUGAGAGAACAAAGUUCUGUCUGUGCGAAAGGUGAAUACUGCUUUGGAUGUGCCAGAUGGAGGGUUCGCGAUGCAGACGAAAUGGUUGUCUUCCACCCGUCUUGAAACACGGACCAAGGAGUCUAACAUAUAUGCGAGUAUUUGGGUGACAAACCCUGAUGCGUAAUGAAAGUAAAGAGCCGAAAGGCUUGAGGUAGGAAUGCCUCGGGUGGGAGGCACUAUCGACCGAUCGUUCGCUUGCGGAAGAUUUGAGUAAUAGCAUAUCUGUUGGGACCCGAAAGAUGGUGAUCUAUGCCUGAACAGGGUGAAGCCAGGGGAAACUCUGGUGGAAGCUCGUAGCGAUACUGACGUGCAAAUCGUUCGUCUGAUUUGGGUAUAGGGGCGAAAGACUAAUCGAACCAUCUAGUAGCUGGUUCCCUC